rnacentral:lncRNA from 1 species
AAGAACAAAGACAAAUAAAGAAACGUCUUAGAUAACAGUUAUAUAAGAACUAAACUACAAAUAAUAGUUUUUAGUAUACAUCGAAUAAACUUAAAUAGUCAACAAGUUGUCUAGUCUCAAAGGCAUUUGCAACUCGAAGUGUUGCAUAUAGGAUAGUCAAUGCAGUGCACCCCAAGCCUAGCUGAUAUGCUCAAGGCUACUGAAC